rnacentral:rRNA from 1 species
UAGCAGAGACCUCAAGCGUUUAUCCGGAAUCAUUGGGCGUAAAGCGUACCGGAUAGGUGGUUAAUACAAGUCAGAAGUGAAAUUCCCAAAGCUUAACUUUGGGUCUGUCUUUUGAAACUGUAUAACUAGAAGGGCAAAGGAGGGAAGCUGGAACAAACGGUGUAGUAGUGAAAUGCGUUGAUAUCGUUUGGAACACCAAUAGCGUAGGCAGGCUUCUGGGUGCCACUUGGACACUGCUAGGACGAAAGCGUGGGGAGCGAAGUGGG